rnacentral:rRNA from 1 species
GGGGGGGCCUAAAACAUGCAAGUCGAACGCUGUAGCAAUACAGAGUGGCGCACGGGUGAGUAACAUGUGGGAAUAUGCCUUUUAGUACGGAAUAGCUUCGGGAAACUGGAAUUAAUACCGUAUGGUCCCUUCGGGGUAAAGAUUUAUCGCCAAAAGAUUAGCCCGCACUGGAUUAGCUAGUUGGUAGGGUAAUGGCCUACCAAGGCGACGAUCCAUAGCUGGUCUGAGAGGACGAUCAGCCACACUGGGACUGAGACACGGCCCAGACUCCUACGGGAGGCAGCAGUUAGGAAUAUUGGACAAUGGGGGCAACCCUGAUCCAGCCAUGCCGCGUGAGUGAUGAAGGCCUUCGGGUUGUAAAACUCUUUAGCCGAUGAAUAUAAUGACUGUAGUCGGAGAAUAAGCCCCGGCUAACUUCGUGCCAGCAGCCGCGGUAAUACGAGGGGGGCGAGCGUUAUUCGGAAUCACUGGGCGUAAAGCGUGCGUAGGCUGCCUUGAAAGUUGGGAGUGAAAGCCCAGGGCUCAACCCUGGAAUUGCUCUCAAAACUACAAGGCUCGGAUUUGGGAGAGGAUAGCGGAAUUGUCAGUGUAGCAGUGAAAUGCGUAGAUAUUGACAGGAACACCAGUGGCGUAAGCGGCUAUCUGGACCAACAUCGACGCUGAGGCACGAAAGCGUGGGGAUCAAACAGGAUUAGAUACCCUGGUAGUCCACGCCGUAAACGAUGUGUGCUUGUCGCUGGGGAGUUCACUCUUCGGUGACGCAGCUAACGCGUUAAGCACACCGCC